rnacentral:misc_RNA from 1 species
GUGCCAUUAAAUAGUUGGCCUGAUUUCUUUAGUAUGGAUUGAUGAUAUUGAGUUGCAGUUGCGUGGAACAUAUAUAGCAAAAGGACAUGGUAGAUUGCAUAUCAUAAAGUUAAUUCCUUUUCUGAGUUAUACGAAGUUUUACAUGAGGAACAAAUAGGACUUGAAUGUGUGCGUUUCUUUGUGUGUGCGUGCCAUGGAUGGAUAACUUUCUUUGGAAAUGUAUGAUAUAUAUUUGCUAGAAGAACAAUUAGCACAAAUUAUCUAUUCUUUUGCUUCUUCAGGAUUUGAGUUAUUUGAUAUUAUCUAUAACUUUUUCAGCAAAUGCUGUAAUGUAGUUAGGUGUCAAUAUUCCUGCUGUACCUCGUGUAAUGCAGUUUGAUAUUUGAUUUGAUA